GAUGAACGCUGGCGGCGUGCUUAACACAUGCAAGUCGAACGGACUAUUCUAGAAUGAGGCUUCAGCCGAAGGAAGGUUUAGUCUAGUGGCGGACGGGUGAGUAACGCGUGAGCAACCUGCCCUUCAGAGGGGGACAACAGCUGGAAACGGCUGCUAAUACCGCAUAUUGCUCUCGGAUCGCAUGGUCUGGGAGUGAAAGAUUUAUCGCUGAAGGAUGGGCUCGCGUCUGAUUAGCUAGUUGGUGGGGUAACGGCCCACCAAGGCAUCGAUCAGUAGCCGGACUGAGAGGUCGAACGGCCACAUUGGGACUGAGAUACGGCCCAGACUCCUACGGGAGGCAGCAGUGGGGAAUAUUGGGCAAUGGGCGCAAGCCUGACCCAGCAACGCCGCGUGAAGGAAGAAGGCUUUCGGGUUGUAAACUUCUUUGACCAGGGAAGAAACAAAUGACGGUACCUGGAAAACAAGCCACGGCUAACUACGUGCCAGCAG
rnacentral:rRNA from 1 species